CCCUUAGAUGCCCUGGGCCGCACGCGCGCUACACUGACAUGUUCAACAAGCCUCCUAGUUCGACAGAAUUUGGGAAAUCUUUGAACGCAUGUCGUGAUAGGGAUAGAUCAUUGCAAUUAUUGAUCUUGAACGAGGAAUUCCUAGUAAACGCGAGUCAUCAGCUCGCAUUGAUUACGUCCCUGCCCUUUGUACACACCGCCCGUCGCACCUACCGAUUGAAUGUUUCGGUGAAGAUUCCGGAUAGGACUUUUUUGAUUUAUUUCAAUUUUGUCUUAAAAGCUAUCUAAACCUCAACAUUUAGAGGAAGGUGAAGUCGUAACA
rnacentral:rRNA from 1 species